rnacentral:rRNA from 1 species
UGGGGAAUAUUGGGCAAUGGGCGCAAGCCUGACCCAGCAACGCCGCGUGAAGGAAGAAGGCUUUCGGGUUGUAAACUUCUUUGACAGGGGAAGAUAAUGACGGUACCCUGAAAACAAGCUCCGGCUAACUACGUGCCAGCAGCCGCGGUGAUACGUAGGGAGCAAGCGUUAUCCGGAAUUACUGGGUGUAAAGGGCGCGUAGGCGGGUCUACAAGUCAGAUGUGAAAUGCCGGGGCUUAACCUCGGAGCUGCAUUUGAAACUGUAGGUCUUGAGUGAUGGAGAGGCAGGCGGAAUUCCCGGUGUAGCGGUGGAAUGCGUAGAUAUCGGGAGGAACACCAGUGGCGAAGGCGGCCUGCUGGACAUUAACUGACGCUGAGGCGCGAAAGCGUGGGGAGCAAACAGGAUUAGGUACC